rnacentral:rRNA from 1 species
UACGUAGGUGGCAAGCGUUGUCCGGAAUUAUUGGGCGUAAAGCGCGCGCAGGCGGUCCUUUAAGUCUGAUGUGAAAGCCCACGGCUCAACCGUGGAGGGUCAUUGGAAACUGGGGGACUUGAGUGCAGGAGAGAAGAGUGGAAUUCCACGUGUAGCGGUGAAAUGCGUAGAGAUGUGGAGGAACACCAGUGGCGAAGGCGGCUCUCUGGACCAGCACUGACACUGAGGCACGAAAGCGUGGGGAGCAAACAGG